AGUGUGUUGGCAGAAUAGUGCAAUUGAUUUAGGAUCAGUUUAUGGAUUUUAUACCACACACUA
rnacentral:tRNA from 1 species